GACGAACGCUGGCGGCGUGCCUAAUACAUGCAAGUCGAACGCAUUUUCUUUCACCGUAGCUUGCUACACCGAAAGAAAAUGAGUGGCGAACGGGUGAGUAACACGUGGGUAACCUGCCCAUCAGCGGGGGAUAACACUUGGAAACAGGUGCUAAUACCGCAUAAUUCCAUUUACUGCAUGGUAGAUGGAUGAAAGGCGCUUUUGCGUCACUGAUGGAUGGACCCGCGGUGCAUUAGCUAGUUGGUGGGGUAACGGCCUACCAAGGCUGCGAUGCAUAGCCGACCUGAGAGGGUGAUCGGCCACCCUGGGACUGAGACACGGCCCAGACUCCUACGGGAGGCAGCAGUAGGGAAUCUUCGGCAAUGGACGCAAGUCUGACCGAGCAACGCCGCGUGAGUGAAGAAGGUUUUCGGAUCGUAAAACUCUGUUGUUAGAAAAGAACGAGGAUGAGGGUGGAAAGUUCAUCCCUUGACGGUAUCUAACCAGAAAGCCACGGCUAACUACGUG
rnacentral:rRNA from 1 species